rnacentral:lncRNA from 1 species
UUCAGCAAUGAAGCUGGAUCUGGCCUGCCGUCUAACUUUCGUGGUACACUUUAGACUCUGGAGUUUGACAACAGCUGUUGCACAACCAUGCUAGGAGGCCACCAGUCUUGGGACAAUGGUUUCUCACUAGUUUGCAUGAGGUAGAACAGAAAUAUAGUAGCCGAGGGAAAACAAAAACUUUAAAUAAUUUAGGGAAGGGAUUUUCCUGGAUGAGUCACAUUUUAAUGAGUACAUCAAUGAUUCAAUUAUGUAUGAAUGUAUGAUGCGUGCACAAGUUAUUUUUUUAUUUUUCGAGACAGGGUCUCACUCUCUCCCCCAGGCUGGAGUGCAGUGGCGCGAUCUCGGCUCACUGCAAGCUCUGCCUUUCCGGUGCACACCAUUCUCCUGCCUGAGCCUUCUGAGUAGCUGGGACUACCGCCUGCUGCCAAGCCCGGCUAAUUUUUUUUUUUUUUUUUUUUUUUUUUUUAAUUUUUAUUUUUUGAGACAGAGUCUUACCCUGUCACUCAGGCUGGAGUGCAGUGGCACAAUCUCGGCGCACAGCAACCUCUGCCUCCUGGGAUGAUGCCAUUCUCCUGUCUCUCUCCCCUCAAGGGGACGCUGAUUUGCCACCAUGUCCGGCUAAUUUUUUGUAUGUUUUAGUAGAGACAAGGUUUCACCGUGUUGGUUUCGAUCUCCUGACCUUGUGAUCUGCCCGCCUCGGCCUCCCAAAGUGCUGGGAUUAUAGGUGUGAGCUGCCGUGCUCUGCUCAGUUUAUUUUUAAUAGAAAAGUAGGAGAACAGGGAAGGCACACAGGUCAGUGUGAAGAAGGGGGUCAUGGUAGACAUGGAGGUGGAGUGUUUUCCUGCCUCCUCACAUUAUGCUAAUAGGGACACAGACAGAUUCAGAGGCCCUUGCAAAAAGAAAAGCCAGAGUCCGUUAAGACACAAAGGGGAGGCGUGAAGAAUUCCUGCAUCUCAGUCGCACGCGAGGCAGCUGUCUCAGACUACAGAAGAAAACAGUCAUGAACAAAUUCAGGUCAGUCACAGUAAGUGAUGACACUCUGAACAGCCCACCACACACUCAAAAAUUCCAAAUCAAAAAAUCCCCACAACCCAGUCCUGUCCCAUCUGCCCCACCCUCCACGCACUUCAGAUCCCCAGAAUCUCACCUUUAUAAGCUGUGAGAGACUCAUCAGAUGCCUGGGCACUGUCGCUACCUGGGGUAG